AAAGAGAUGGCAGAAAAUAAUGCAUCUGGCUUGAAACCAGAAAGAUGGAAGUUUAAAUCUUCCUCUCUUUU
rnacentral:tRNA from 1 species